GAUGAACGCUGGCGGCGUGCCUAAUACAUGCAAGUCGAGCGGACAGAUCAGGUUCUUGCUCCUGUUACGUUAUCGUCGGACGGGUAACGAGCACGUAAAUCGCCUGCGUAUAAGCCUGAAAUAGGUUAGAGAAACCGGAGCUAAGGCCGAAUUAUCGAUAGAACCGCAUGGUGCUGUAGGUGGUGGCGGUUGUUCUUUUACUGGUAGAUGGAGCCCCGCCGCAUUAGCUGGUUGGUAGGGUAACGGUAUACUAAGGCAACGAUGGGUAGCCGACCUGAGAGGGUGAUCGGCCACACUGGAACUGAGACAGGGUCCAGACUCCUACGGGAGGCAGAAGUAGGGAAGCUUACGCAAUGGGCGAAAGCCUGACGGAGCAACGCCGAGUGAGUGAUGAAGGUCUUCGGAUCGUAGAACUCUGCUAUUAGGGAAGAAGAAAUGUGUAAGUAAUUAGGCGCGUCUUGACGGUAGUUGAAGAGAAAGCCCCGGCUAACUACGUG
rnacentral:rRNA from 1 species